rnacentral:rRNA from 1 species
AGUGAACGCUGGCGGUAGGCCUAACACAUGCAAGUCGAACGGCAGCACAGUAAGAGCUUGCUCUUACGGGUGGCGAGUGGCGGACGGGUGAGGAAUACAUCGGAAUCUACUUUUUCGUGGGGGAUAACGUAGGGAAACUUACGCUAAUACCGCAUACGACCUACGGGUGAAAGCAGGGGAUCUUAGGACCUUGCGCGAUUGCAUGAGCCGAUGUCGGAUUAGCUAGUUGGCGGGGUAAAGGCCCACCAAGGCGACGAUCCGUAGCUGGUCUGAGAGGAUGAUCAGCCACACUGGAACUGAGACACGGUCCAGACUCCUACGGGAGGCAGCAGUGGGGAAUAUUGGACAAUGGGCGCAAGCCUGAUCCAGCCAUACCGCGUGAGUGAAGAAGGCCUUCGGGUUGUAAAGCCCUUUUGUUGGGAAAGAAAAGCAGCAGGUUAAUACCCCGCUGUUCUGACGGUACCCAAAGAAUAAGCACCGGCUAACUUCGUG